GACGAACGCUGGCGGCGUGCUUAACACAUGCAAGUCGAACGGAAAGGCCCUGCUUUUGUGGGGUGCUCGAGUGGCGAACGGGUGAGUAACACGUGAGUAACCUGCCCUUGACUUUGGGAUAACUUCAGGAAACUGGGGCUAAUACCGGCUAGGAGCUCCUGCUGCAUGGUGGGGGUUGGAAAGUUUCGGCGGUUGGGGAUGGACUCGCGGCUUAUCAGCUUGUUGGUGGGGUAGUGGCUUACCAAGGCUUUGACGGGUAGCCGGCCUGGGAGGGUGAACGGCGACAUUGGGACUGAGAUACGGCCCAGACGCCUACGGGAGGCAGCAGUGGGGAAUAUGGCACAAUGGGCGGAAGCCUGAUGCAGCAACGCCGCGUGCGGGAUGACGGCCUUCGGGGUGUAAACCGCUUUCGCCUGUGACGAAGCGUGAGUGACGGUAAUGGGUAAAGAAGCACCGGCUAACUACGUG
rnacentral:rRNA from 1 species